rnacentral:lncRNA from 1 species
UUUAAUCUUAUCACAGGAACAGAACUCCACGAUCACAACCUGGUAUAUCUGGACAAUGGAUGUUCAAGACACAUGACCGGGAACAAAGCCCUCCUUUCUAACUUCAUAGAGAAGGAGGGUCCGUCAGUCAUUUUUGGAGACAAUAGCUCUGGCAAAACAAGAGGAUAUGGCUCAGUUGGAAAUGGUGCAGUAUCUUUCAAUAAAGUAGCC